AUUGGUACGAGUUACCCAAAUAUAGCGAGGUUACCCGAUGAGGUUUGUUGCCCUAACAGACUUCAAGUCCACCCGGAUAUCAUGGAUUGACGGGCGGUAAGUACAAGGUCCGGGAACGUAUACACAGUAACAUUGCUGAUAUACGAUUACUAGCAAUUCAAGCUUCAUGAUGGCGAGUUACAGACCUCAAUUCGAACUAAUAAAUGAUUUUUGAGAUAAGCAUCCUGUUACGAGAUAACAGGCCUUUGUUCCUACAAUUGUAUCACGUGUGUAGCCAUGGGCAUAAAGGACAUGAUGAUUUGACAUCAUCCCCUCAAUAAUCGCGUAUAAUGACAGCAGUUUCAAUAACAGUUAUAACCUUGACCUGUUGGCAACUCAAGAUAAGGGAUGCGCUUUAUGCGGGAAUUAAAUGAUCACUCAAGGAUUAAGAUGUACAGCUAAAUGUAUCAACUUAAUGGCCGUGAUUUGA
rnacentral:rRNA from 1 species